rnacentral:rRNA from 1 species
GUGGUAAUGCCGGAUGUUCCACAUGAUCGCAUGUGAUUGUGGGAAAGAUUCUAUCGGCGUGGGAUGGGGUCGCGUCCUAUCAGCUUGUUGGUGAGGUAACGGCUCACCAAGGCUUCGACGGGUAGCCGGCCUGAGAGGGCGACCGGCCACAUUGGGACUGAGAUACGGCCCAGACUCCUACGGGAGGCAGCAGUGGGGAAUAUUGCACAAUGGGCGCAAGCCUGAUGCAGCGACGCCGCGUGAGGGAUGGAGGCCUUCGGGUUGUAAACCUCUUUUGUUUGGGAGCAAGCCUUCGGGUGAGUGUACCUUUCGAAUAAGCGCCGGCUAACUACGUGCCAGCAGCCGCGGUAAUACGUAGGGCGCAAGCGUUAUCCGGAUUUAUUGGGCGUAAAGGGCUCGUAGGCGGCUCGUCGCGUCCGGUGUGAAAGUCCAUCGCUUAACGGUGGAUCUGCGCCGGGUACGGGCGGGCUGGAGUGCGGUAGGGGAGACUGGAAUUCCCGGUGUAACGGUGGAAUGUGUAGAUAUCGG